ACUCAAAGGAAUUGACGGGGGCCCGCACAAGCGGUGGAGCAUGUGGUUUAAUUCGACGCAACGCGAAGAACCUUACCUACUCUUGACAUCCUACGAAGCCGACUGAGAGGUUGGUGUGCCGAAAGGAACGUAGAGACAGGUGCUGCAUGGCUGUCGUCAGCUCGUGUUGUGAGAUGUUGGGUUAAGUCCCGUAACGAGCGCAACCCUUGUCCUUAGUUGCCAUUACGUAAAGGUAGGCACUCUAAGGAGACUGCUGGUGAGGAACCGGAGGAAGGUGGGGACGACGUCAAGUCAUCAUGGCCUUUAUGAGUAGGGCUACACACGUGCUACAAUGGGGUGUACAGAGGGUAGCCAACCCGCGAGGGGGAGCCAAUCCUUUAAAGCAUCUCGUAGUCCGGAUUGAAGUCUGCAACUCGACUUCAUGAAGUCGGAAUCGCUAGUAAUCGCGAAUCAGAACGUCGCGGUGAAUACGUUCCCGGGCCUUGUACACACCGCCCGU
rnacentral:rRNA from 1 species